rnacentral:rRNA from 1 species
AACGAACACUGGCGGCAGGCCUAACACAUGCAAGUCGAGCGAGGACUUCGGUCCUAGCGGCGGACGGGUGAGUAACGCGUGGGAACGUGCCCUUUGCUACGGAAUAGCCCCGGGAAACUGGGAGUAAUACCGUAUGUGCCCGAGAGGGGAAAGAUUUAUCGGCAAAGGAUCGGCCCGCGUUGGAUUAGGUAGUAGGUGGGGUAAAGGCCUACCAAGGCGACGAUGCGUAGCCGACCUGAGAGGGUGAACGGCCACACUGGGACUGAGACACGGCCCAGACUCCUACGGGAGGCAGCAGUAGGGAAUCUUCGGCAAUGGGCGAAAGCCUGACCGAGCAACGCCGCGUGCAGGAUGAAUGCCUUCGGGUUGUAAACUGCUUUUAUGUGCGAAGAAUUUGACUGUAACACAUGAAUAAGGAUCGGCUAACUACGUGCCAGCAGCCGCCGUAACAC